CAUCUGUAACCCGAGGUACCACUGUAGUGCAAAUGCAAAGAUUGCAACAUUGGUCAAAAGGCCUACAGAUUGGGGACAACAUCAAAGAGAACUGUGUUGCUAAGGAUGAAGUAAUCUCAAAUUCACCCUUAUCUCACACCCUUAUCUAGAGUGCUACUUCAAAAACAAUGGAACCCGUCCCAUUAGGGCAGCAUUCUUGGCUUCCCACCUGCAUAUAUAGGCAUGAACUCUGUGAAGGCAUCACAUUUGCUAGUUCAUCCUUGGGACUCCUUUCAACGGCACACAAGUCUGAGAAGAACCAUGAAGUUCGUCUGUCUCUUCUUUGCCGUGGUCUUCCUUGGCAUUUCCCAGUCUGAUGAAGCCGAUGUGCAAAAGAAAUGGAGAAAGCCCUUGGAAGACUUGCGUGGCCUUCAGGGCCAAGACCCAGCUUUGCCAGCUGACGAUGAUGAAGCUUUGAAGGAUGAAGAAGAUGUUCCCCGCCCAAGAAAUGCCAUGGUAUGCAAUGCUAUGGGGGGGAAUUGCCGCUCCAGAUGUAAUGACAAUGAGAAGUCUAUUGGAAAAUGCUUUGCAAGUAGGUAUUGCUGUGUGAGAUUCCAGUAGAGAGCCUGCUCAAGAGAGAUGCAAGGAAGACCAACAGUGUACGAUCGGAACAGAGGAAGAAUCCACCUCCCAAUCAAGAUGGAUUAAUGCUAAACCUCUCUUUUUUGAUUAAAACUGAGUUUGCUUCCAAUUCAGUGGCUAUCUAUCAUUUUAUUCUUCCUCGAAGCAUUUGAUCACUUAUAGUUAUCACUACCACUAAACUGCCAUUGUUGCUGUAACUACUACUACAAACUCCCCCCCGUGCCCCCAAUUAUCUGAAACAGUCACAAUAUUCUUGAUUUCUUGAUAUGAUUUAUUAUAGAGUGGUACAUCUGGAUGCAAAUGGGAUCCGUGCCGGAGCCCCGUUCGCAUCUAGAAGCAAACGUAACUAGCGACGGCACGUCUGUGCACACGAGCGUCGCUUUUAGCCGCUUCUGCGCGUGACGUCAUUUUGAGUAUCUGGCAUGUGCAAGCGGUGAAACC
rnacentral:lncRNA from 1 species